UGAUGAGAAGCUUGCUUCUCUGAUGCUUAGCGGCGGACGGGUGAGUAACACGUAGGUAACCUGCCUGUAAGACUGGGAUAACUACCGGAAACGGUAGCUAAUACCGGAUAAUUUAUUUUCUCUCCUGGGGAGAUAAUGAAAGACGGAGCAAUCUGUCACUUACAGAUGGGCCUGCGGCGCAUUAGCUAGUUGGUGAGGUAACGGCUCACCAAGGCGACGAUGCGUAGCCGACCUGAGAGGGUGAACGGCCACACUGGGACUGAGACACGGCCCAGACUCCUACGGGAGGCAGCAGUAGGGAAUCUUCCGCAAUGGACGAAAGUCUGACGGAGCAACGCCGCGUGAGUGAUGAAGGUUUUCGGAUCGUAAAGCUCUGUUGCCAGGGAAGAACGUCCGGUAGAGUAACUGCUACCGGAGUGACGGUACCUGAGAAGAAAGCCCCGGCUAACUACGUGCCAGCAGCCGCGGUA
rnacentral:rRNA from 1 species